CAAGGGAUUAGAGAUUUCUCCGUAUCUCUCUUUCACUCAAACCCUCUUGAAGCUAUAUACAUAGAAAAUCAUUCCCAUGAAGGUCAUUAGCCAAGGAAAAGGUCAAGAGAUAGAGUGAACUUGAGGGUUUUCUUUUUUUUUUUCCUUUUUUGACCCUAUAGAGCAAAGAGAGGAUGCAUUUAUCCAUUACAGGAAAGAUGGCAAUAAAUGGUACGCGACUUGGGAUGCCAAGUGGACCCCUUUUGGCACUUAUCCGUUAUGUUUUGUUGAAAAAAAGUAAGAUUGAUAUUAUAUGCAGAGAACCAAAAGUGAAUGAGAGGAAACUGCAGAGAAAAAUUCCUUCAAAUCUUGGAUUUUAAAAGAAAAAGUGAAACAAAAAAGAAGGAAAGAAAAAUUUCACCAUAAAACACCUUUUUUGUUUGAUCACGAUGGGCACAUGGGCUGCACUGCAAAUGUCAAUUUGUUUAGCAUUAUAUCUAUAUUUGAUGGUUACUGAGACAGUUUGAGAUACAUCCUCCCCUAUACUGUGAUCUUCACGGACACUGCUGUUUUCCCUUUGUAUCUUCUCUGAAAAUCUGAUCUGUCUUUUUUUUUUUCCAAUUGGGAUAGUCUUUCUUGGAAGUGUUGCGGUACACAGAAUUUGAUUAAUUUUUUUACUUUGGAAAUUCAGUUCUUUUGCUUUUGUUCGACAAAGAAGAAAAAGGAAAUGGAGAGUAAGAGACAAGUUGGUUCUUCUUCUUCAUUCACUGCUGAGCUUUUUGGCUCCAAGGAGUCAUCAUCAUCAUCAUCAAAAGGGAUUUUCAGUUCCAUUUUUCAACCUCCAUCCUCGGUGGGAGGGAGGAACCCCACAAGUUCUAAGGUGUUAGAAUAUUGGCCAAAACAGCGUUUAGAAGGUUCAACUUGGAGACAUGGAAUGCAAGCUCCAGUUGCUGAGAGUGCAACCUAUAACAUACCCAACAAGGACAGAAACUCUGUUUUUCAUGAAGAGAGGGUGGAACCAUGCCAUUUAAGUUCAUCUCUUUACUAUGGUGGCCAAGACAUAUAUUCCCGUUCCUCGAGUACCCAAAGUUCUACAUCAUAUCCUAUUUUCAAGAAAGAUGGAGGGGAAGAUGACCCAAAUGGGAACAAUUCACAGGAUGCUUCUAGAGGAGAUUGGUGGCAAGGUACUGAUAUUCUAGAUGAAGCUUCAGGUAGAUAAUCAAUGUAACUAUGGAUUUACGCUAUACCAACAUCUCAAAACUUGACUUGGACUUCUGCAGGAAUUAUAAAGCAAGCAAAUAAUCAUGGAAGACAUGAAGUAUAAAUAAAUUUCUGACACGGACAAAGGCCGCUCAGGAUUCUGUAAUACGAUAUCUUUUUCAUAAUUUUUAUCUGAGAACUGAUAGAUAAAUUAGGCUUUCGUUUUUAAAUGUCAAUAUCCAAGCUUCAGAUUCUGUAUCCAAAAUGCCAUCUCUUUGCUAUGUAUGAGAGUUACACCAAAAAAUAUAUAUCUAU